UGCGUAGGCGGCGCGGUAAGUCGGGUGUGAAAUCUCGGGGCUUAACUCCGAAACUGCAUUCGAUACUGCCCGUGCUUGAGGACUGGAGAGGAGACUGGAAUUUACGGUGUAGCGGUGAAAUGCGUAGAUAUCGUAAGGAAGACCAGUGGCGAAGGCGGGUCUCUGGACAGUUCCUGACGCUGAGGCACGAAGGCCAGGGGGGAGCCAAAACCGGG
rnacentral:rRNA from 1 species